GCUCGCGUAGCUUAUUCAAAGCAUAACAUUGAAGCCGUUAAGAUGGGCCCUAAAAAGCCCCGCAUGCA
rnacentral:tRNA from 1 species